rnacentral:rRNA from 1 species
AUUGAACGCUGGCGGCAGGCUUAACACAUGCAAGUCGAGCGGGGAAAGGUAGCUUGCUACCUGACCUAGCGGCGGACGGGUGAGUAAUGCUUAGGAAUCUGCCUAUUAGUGGGGGACAACAUUCCGAAAGGAAUGCUAAUACCGCAUACGCCCUACGGGGGAAAGCAGGGGAUCUUCGGACCUUGCGCUAAUAGAUGAGCCUAAGUCAGAUUAGCUAGUUGGUGGGGUAAAGGCCUACCAAGGCGACGAUCUGUAGCGGGUCUGAGAGGAUGAUCCGCCACACUGGGACUGAGACACGGCCCAGACUCCUACGGGAGGCAGCAGUGGGGAAUAUUGGACAAUGGGCGAAAGCCUGAUCCAGCCAUGCCGCGUGUGUGAAGAAGGCCUUUUGGUUGUAAAGCACUUUAAGCGAGGAGGAGGCUACUUAGAUUAAUACUCUAGGAUAGUGGACGUUACUCGCAGAAUAAGCACCGGCUAACUCUGUGCCAGCAGCCGCGGUAAUACAGAGGGUGCGAGCGUUAAUCGGAUUUACUGGGCGUAAAGCGUGCGUAGGCGGCUUUUUAAGUCGGAUGUGAAAUCCCUGAGCUUAACUUAGGAAUUGCAUUCGAUACUGGGAAGCUAGAGUAUGGGAGAGGAUGGUAGAAUUCCAGGUGUAGCGGUGAAAUGCGUAGAGAUCUGGAGGAAUACCGAUGGCGAAGGCAGCCAUCUGGCCUAAUACUGACGCUGAGGUACGAAAGCAUGGGGAGCAAACAGGAUUAGAUACCCUGGUAGUCCAUGCCGUAAACGAUGUCUACUAGCCGUUGGGGCCUUUGAGGCUUUAGUGGCGCAGCUAACGCGAUAAGUAGACCGCCUGGGGAGUACGGUCGCAAGACUAAAACUCAAAUGAAUUGACGGGGGCCCGCACAAGCGGUGGAGCAUGUGGUUUAAUUCGAUGCAACGCGAAGAACCUUACCUGGUCUUGACAUAGUAAGAACUUUCCAGAGAUGGAUUGGUGCCUUCGGGAACUUACAUACAGGUGCUGCAUGGCUGUCGUCGGCUCGUGUCGUGAGAUGUUGGGUUAAGUCCCGCAACGAGCGCAACCCUUUUCCUUAUUUGCCAGCGGGUUAAGCCGGGAACUUUAAGGAUACUGCCAGUGACAAACUGGAGGAAGGCGGGGACGACGUCAAGUCAUCAUGGCCCUUACGACCAGGGCUACACACGUGCUACAAUGGUCGGUACAAAGGGUUGCUACCUAGCGAUAGGAUGCUAAUCUCAAAAAGCCGAUCGUAGUCCGGAUUGGAGUCUGCAACUCGACUCCAUGAAGUCGGAAUCGCUAGUAAUCGCGGAUCAGAAUGCCGCGGUGAAUACGUUCCCCGGCCU